UGGGGGAUAUUGCACAAUGGGGGGAACCCUGAUGCAGCGACGCCGCGUGGGUGAAGAAGCGCCCCGGCGCGUAAAGCCCUGUCAGCAGGGAAGAAGGAGGACGGUACCUGACCAAGAAGCCCCGGCUAACUACGUGCCAGCAGCCGCGGUAAUACGUAGGGGGCGAGCGUUAUCCGGAUUUACUGGGUGUAAAGGGGGCGCAGACGGCGCCGCAAGCCAGGAGUGAAAGCCCGGGGCCCAACCCCGGGACUGCUCUUGGAACUGCGGGGCUGGAGUGCAGGAGGGGCAGGCGGAAUUCCUGGUGUAGCGGUGAAAUGCGUAGAUAUCAGGAGGAACACCGGUGGCGAAGGCGGCCUGCUGGACUGCAACUGACGUUGAGGCCCGAAAGCGUGGGGAGCAAACAGG
rnacentral:rRNA from 1 species